rnacentral:rRNA from 1 species
UACGUAGGGUGCAAGCGUUAAUCGGAAUUACUGGGCGUAAAGCGUGCGCAGGCGGCUUUGCAAGACAGAUGUGAAAUCCCCGGGCUUAACCUGGGAACUGCAUUUGUGACUGCAUGGCUAGAGUGCGGCAGAGGGGGAUGGAAUUCCGCGUGUAGCAGUGAAAUGCGUAGAUAUGCGGAGGAAGACCGGUGGCGAAGGCGGCCUGCUGGGCAGUUACUGACACUGAGGCGCGACAGCGUGGGGAGCAAACAGG